rnacentral:rRNA from 1 species
GUCCUAGCCGUAACGUUGGUCACUAGGUGUUGGGUCCCUAAUAAGGGCUCAGUGCCGCAGCUAACGCAUUAAGUGACCCACCUGGGGACUACGGCCGCAAGGUUGAACUCAAGGAAUUGACGGGGCCCGCACAAGCGGUGGAGUAUGUGGUUCAAUUCGACGCAACGCGAAGAACCUUACCUGGGUUUGACAUGUUGACGAAAGCCCAAGAGAUUGGGUCCUCCCGCAAGGGACGGCAACACAGGUGCUGCAUGGCUGUCGU